ACGUCAGCGGCAGACGGGUGAGUAACGCGUGGGAACAUACCUCUUGGUUCGGAACAACACAGGGAAACUUGUGCUAAUACCGGAUAAGCCCUUACGGGGAAAGAUUUAUCGCCGAGAGAUUGGCCCGCGUCUGAUUAGCUAGUUGGUAGGGUAAUGGCCUACCAAGGCGACGAUCAGUAGCUGGUCUGAGAGGAUGAUCAGCCACAUUGGGACUGAGACACGGCCCAAACUCCUACGGGAGGCAGCAGUGGGGAAUAUUGGACAAUGGGGGCAACCCUGAUCCAGCCAUGCCGCGUGAGUGAUGAAGGCCCUAGGGUUGUAAAGCUCUUUUGUGCGGGAAGAUAAUGACGGUACCGCAAGAAUAAGCCCCGGCUAACUUCGUGCCAGCAGCCGCGGUAAUACGAAGGGGGCUAGCGUUGCUCGGAAUCACUGGGCGUAAAGGGUGCGUAGGCGGGUUUUUAAGUCAGGGGUGAAAUCCUGGAGCUCAACUCCAGAACUGCCUUUGAUACUGAAGAUCUUGAGUCCGGGAGAGGUGAGUGGAACUGCGAGUGUANAGGUGAAAUUCGUAGAUAUUCGCAAGAACACCAGUGGCGAAGGCGGCUCACUGGCCCGGUACUGACGCUGAGGCACGAAAGCGUGGGGA
rnacentral:rRNA from 1 species